UACGUAGGGCGCAAGCGUUGUCCGGAAUUAUUGGGCGUAAAGCGCACGUAGGCGGCUUUGUAAGUUAGAGGUGAAAGCCCGGGGCUCAACUCCGGAAUUGCCUUUAAGACUGCAUCGCUAGAAUUGUGGAGAGGUGAGUGGAAUUCCGAGUGUAGAGGUGAAAUUCGUAGAUAUUCGGAAGAACACCAGUGGCGAAGGCGACUCACUGGACACAUAUUGACGCUGAGGCGCGACAGCGUGGGGAGCAAACAGG
rnacentral:rRNA from 1 species